CCCCCCCCAAGACCCUCCAGCACCACCCCGGGAGAGCAAGGAAAGACCAACCCCUCGACAUAUGGCAGAAAGCGUGGAGGAUUUUGAACUUUAAACUGGCUUCUGAAUGAAAGGAGUUUUGAAGCAUAGGACUGUCACCUUUAUAUGUGAACAUCUGUCACCCACCUAAGCUCAGGUACUUGUAAAGGAAUGCAGUGAUGAUCUUGUGAUGACCUUGUGAAGGAAUGGAUGAACCAUGAAGAGAGGAGAAACAGCAACUUAGUCCCAGGAAAAUAGGAUGUGUGUGAGAGAAAGCCUCAAAAUAACCACAUCUUGGUUUUGUUGGUAUUAAAUGGGGAAGA